UACGUAGGGGGCGAGCGUUGUCCGGAAUCAUUGGGCGUAAAGCGCGUGUAGGCGGCUUGGUAAGUCUGGCGUGAAACCUCGGGGCUCAACCCCGAGCCUGCACUGGAUACUGCCUCGCUCGAGUCCGGGAGGGGAGAGCGGAAUUCCUAGUGUAGCGGUGAAAUGCGCAGAUAUUAGGAAGAACACCGGUGGCGAAGGCGGCUCUCUGGAACGGUACUGACGCUGAGACGCGAAAGCGUGGGGAGCAAACAGG
rnacentral:rRNA from 1 species